AACUAGGNAUUAGAUACCCUAUUAUUCAAUUUGUAACUUUGUUUUAUAUUAGUAUGAGGGGUCUUAAAAUUAAAAAGAUUUGGCGGUAUUGAAGUCUUACUAGAGGAACUUGUAAUUUAAUCGAUAAUCCUCGUUUAAUCUUACUUUAGCUUGUUUAGUUUGUAUAUCGUCGUUUUAAGAAAGUAUUAUGGAGUUAUUUUCUUUAUANAUUGUUUUGAUAAUUCAGAUCAAGGUGCAGCUUAUGCUAAAGUUAUUAUGAGUUACAUUUGAAUUAUUAAUUACGGAUNAUUCUUGAAAAUUUGAGUUUUGAAGGUGGAUUUAGUAGUAAAGUAAUAUAAGAUAAUUUUUUUGAAUAAGUACUAAAAUAUGUACACAUCGCCCGUCGCUCUU
rnacentral:rRNA from 1 species